AAGAAAGGAAAGAGAAAGUCCAACCACUACGGCAAUACUUUUAAGCUCUACUAAAUGAUCGUAUCCUUUCUGGCUUCGAAACUUUUGUACCUAAAAAUCGAGAGAGGCGCUGCAUUUUUUCAGUUGAAACUGUCAAAACUUGGAGAAGGGGGACCUCGGAGGCAGGCAGGAGAGGAGGAGAAUCCUGAAAACUCGGUGGAGGUUGGGAAGAUGCUGUGCCUCGAGGAUUAGUUUAAACAGGGGGCUAUAAAAGAUGUAACAGAUGCAAACUGUAACACAAGGGCCAUUAACCCUUUCUCUGCCGGGCACACUCAGUCCCCACGCCCCACACCUAUUGUCUCCUGUGCUAGAAGCUUUGCAGAAAACCUGGAAAGGGAAAUCCUGAAAUAAAGAAAUGGUCACACAAGUGUCUGGGAUGAAACAGCUGGCCUGUCUAUAUUCAUCCUGAGACACACGACUGCAUAUAAAUACAUGUUUAAUAAAUUUUGGCCAGAAAUGGUGAGAAGAAAAAGCAUGAAGAAGCCGCGAAGUGUGGGGGAGAAAAAGGUGGAAGCGAAGAAACAGCUCCCGGAGCAAACUGUACAAAAACCUCGCCAAGAGUGUCGGGAGGCAGGACCGUUAUUCCUGCAGAGCAGGAGAGAGACGAGAGACCCUGAAACACGCGCCACCUAUCUUUGUGGGGAGGGAUAAUUGAAGCGCCCUGAGCGUGAGCAUCAUGUGAAAACGUGAUCGCCAAGUUUCUCUCUGGGAAAGGAUCUGGGAUAGAUUAUACCUUGAAGUCUCCGCAAACGCUUUAGUGGAAGA
rnacentral:ncRNA from 2 species